rnacentral:ncRNA from 1 species
CUAAAUUUGAUGAAGAGAACAAGUAAGUUAUGAUAUCUGUCCUACAGAGAGUUGGCGUUAUGCUGAAAGCCAAUGUUCAGAACAUAUCUGAAAAUCAUCUCUGAGAAGUAAAACUGAAGCUCACUUUAGGUAAGUUUUACCGGAGUUCCACCGUUAAAAGGAACGCGUAUCAUGUGUACGUAGCUGAGUGCUAUAAACUAAUAUAGUGUUUUUUGGUUUAUAGAAUUAGGGUGGUAACGCGAGUACAACUCGUCCCUUUU